AACGAACGCUGGCGGCAUGCCUAACACAUGCAAGUCGAACGAGAUCUUCGGGUCUAGUGGCGCACGGGUGCGUAACGCGUGGGAAUCUGCCCUUUGGUUCGGAAUAACAGUUGGAAACGACUGCUAAUACCGGAUGAUGACGAAAGUCCAAAGAUUUAUCGCCAGAGGAUGAGCCCGCGUAGGACUAGCUAGUUGGUGUGGUAAAGGCGCACCAAGGCGACGAUCCUUAGCUGGUCCGAGAGGAUGAUCAGCCACACUGGGACUGAGACACGGCCCAGACUCCUACGGGAGGCAGCAGUGGGGAAUAUUGGACAAUGGGCGAAAGCCUGAUCCAGCAAUGCCGCGUGAGUGAUGAAGGCCUUAGGGUUGUAAAGCUCUUUUACCCGGGAUGAUAAUGACAGUACCGGGAGAAUAAGCUCCGGCUAACUCCGUGCCAGCAGCCGCAGUAA
rnacentral:rRNA from 1 species